rnacentral:rRNA from 1 species
UGCUUAACAGCUAGCUCACCCAGCAACUUAACCCCCCCCCCCCCAACCCCCCCAAAAAAAAAAUGAAAAAAAAAAACUAACUAAAAAAUUUUUCCCCUUAAAUACAGGGAAAUGAAAAAAAACCCUCCAAACUUCCAAAAAAAUACCCCAGGGGAAAACUAAAAAAAAAAUAAAAAAACUCAAUAAACCCAAAAAAAGCAAAAA